AUUGAUCCCGAACGGGCAGAAUAUUUUGAAAAUAUCACGAUACGUUUCUCGUUAUCUGACCACUCUGUGGUGAAAGCUAAAAACUUGUUAGCACUGAUGAAGGGAACAAGUGGUUCCCGAAAUAUCGAUAAUUAAUCGUUGGAAACACCUCAUAAUUACACUCAGAAUUUAUGAUUUCCGAUUCAGACUUACAUUUCCUUUACAGGUUAUAUUUCAUAAGCCAAGUGAUAACGAAAUGAUAGUUUUUGCAGCAAAGCAACCACAGGGUGUGGAGGUUUACGCAGCAGAGACGGUAAGAGCGGUAAAGGCCUGAAUGGAAAAGGUCU